UACGGAGGGGCUAGCGUUGUUCGGAAAUACUGGGCGUAAAGCGCACGUAGGCGGCGCAGCAAGUCAGGGGUGAAAUCCCGGGGCUCAACCCCGGAACUGCCUCUGAAACUGCAGUGCUAGAAUCUUGGAGAGGCGAGUGGAAUCCGAGUGUAGAGGUGAAAUUCGUAGAUAUUCGGAAGAAACACCAGUGGCGAAGGCGACUCGCGGGACAAGUAUUGACGCUGAGGUGCGAAAGCGUGGGGAGCAAACAGGG
rnacentral:rRNA from 1 species